rnacentral:rRNA from 1 species
CGAGUGAAGCGGCAAAAGCUCAAAUUUGAAAUCUGGCACCUUCGGUGUCCGAGUUGUAAUUUGAAGAAGGUAACUUUGGAGUUGGCUCUUGUCUAUGUUCCUUGGAACAGGACGUCACAGAGGGUGAGAAUCCCGUGCGAUGAGAUGCCCAAUUCUAUGUAAAGUGCUUUCGAAGAGUCGAGUUGUUUGGGAAUGCAGCUCUAAGUGGGUGGUAAAUUCCAUCUAAAGCUAAAUAUUGGCGAGAGACCGAUAGCGAACAAGUACAGUGAUGGAAAGAUGAAAAGAACUUUGAAAAGAGAGUGAAAAAGUACGUGAAAUUGUUGAAAGGGAAGGGCUUGAGAUCAGACUUGGUAUUUUGCGAUCCUUUCCUUCUUGGUUGGGUUCCUCGCAGCUUACUGGGCCAGCAUCGGUUUGGAUGGUAGGAUAAUGACUAAGGAAUGUGGCUCUACUUCGGUGGAGUGUUAUAGCCUUGGUUGAUACUGCCUGUCUAGACCGAGGACUGCGUCUUUUGACUAGGAUGUUGGCAUAAUGAUCUUAAGCCACCCGUCUUGAAACACGGACCAAGGAGUCUAACGUCUAUGCGAGUGUUUGGGUGUAAAACCCGUACGCGUAAUGAAAGUGAACGUAGGUGAGAGCUCUUAAGAGUGCAUCAUCGACCGAUCCUGAUGUCUUCGGAUGGAUUUGAGUAAGAGCAUAGCUGUUGGGACCCGAAAGAUGGUGAACUAUGCCUGAAUAGGGUGAAGCCAGAGGAAACUCUGGUGGAGGCUCGUAGCGGUUCUGACGUGCAAAUCGAUCGUCGAAUUUGGGUAUAGGGGCG